CCCUCCAAUUUCCGAUCGUUUCCAAAAUCCGCAGAAAAAUUCGAAAGUCUUUUCUCCUGCGCAGACGCAGCGAACUUCAUCGCCGAUCGUCAAACUCCGUCGCCGUCGGAGAUGCUUUCGUCUCUCAACUGAGUUUCACGAUCUCCGCUUGAUUCCAGUUCAUGUCCUUUCCCGCGGCACGAUCACCGACGACGACGAUUCUGAGUUUCGUCUCGUGUUCGCUCGUUGAUGUUCAGAGCCGAAGAGCAGAAGAUCGUGGAAAGAGAGGACGUCGACGACGAAGCAGAAGACCUGCUCGAAACGAUCGACAAACGUGAGUUACGGCAAAACAGAGUGUAGGCAACUCCUCUCUGUUCAUCUGAUCGCUUUCGUAAUGAGUUUCGGUGCGUCCUUUGAUUCUGAGAUUGAUUAUCGUGAUUUUCUGAUCCGUGUUCCGAAAGUUAAAAUUAAGAUGCAAAUGGUUCGAUGAAGCUAUGGCCGUGAUUAUCAUGAUUUACAUCUCGACCUUUCUCUCGACACCUGUCGUGAUUUCCUGCACGUACAAUAGUUUUUAGUUUUUGUCUUCUGAUCAUGCAAGAGCAAUGUUACGUGACAUUGGAAUUGCACCAUUGUAUUGGUGACAUAGCUGGAUUAAUAAGGUAUAUCCUAAGCUAAAUUCAUCAAUAAUCACUGUUGGAAAGCUAGAUUGUCAUUGAUCAUCUAGGAAAUGCUUUUGUCCUGACAUUCUACAUUCACCAGGAAACAUAAGAGUUUAACGCGAUGCUGAGUUGAGGAACGUAUUCUUAUUUGGCCAAGUGAAUUGCUUUUUCUUUGUUUAUUUUUUGUAGCACUUAACUGGAAUAAAAGGAUUAUCUGAGGCAAAAGUUGAAAAGAUAUGAGAUGGUGGCUCCAAUCAAUUUGAACUUCUAUAAGCAUCUCGCAUUGACUUCUCUUUGUUUUAUCAGAAUUUUGGCUAUAUUAUUGGAAGUGAUGCUCUGCUCAGAAGAGAGUCGUCGGUUGUUUGCAUCACAACUGGAAGCCCCCUCGAUGAGCUUUUAGGCGCUAUAUGGCAAAGAUCCGGCACCAUAACUUGCCCUCGAGAAGACAACAAGUCAACUCGAGAGGAAGGGUGCUGAAAAGGAAAACACAGCCAACAAGGCAGAACUAGCCAAACAAGUGGCAAACAAAAGAAGGCCAAACAAUAGCCACCCCCAAAGAAGAAGGGAACCACGAAAGGCCACAGCAGUGGCAGCCAAAAACUGACCGCAGAGGCAGCAGCUAGCCCAGGAAGAGAGCAAAAAAGAGAGAAGCCGCAACCAUCAGCAAGCAUGAACAACCUGCAGAAGACGUACAGCCUCCCGCGAAGGCCCACCGCCAAGCAGCAGCACCAGAUCAGCGAAGUACAACACUGCCCCCCGCCAAGUCGCAGCAGCAUCCGGGACCACCAUACGCAGCAGCCAACGUCCAACACUGCAUCCAAAAAGCUAGUCUACCAGCCACCAGCCACCACCCACACCCAAUAACAGCAGGUCUGGCUCGGUCACAGCACCUACAGAAACUGACCUUACGAAGCAGGCGCAGGUGCAGGAGAUAAAAUGGAAGGGUCCAACCCCCAGCAACACUGAAAUCUCCGAUUUCUAUAAGUGUCAUCGACGUUGUUAUACGUCAAGGCUUUAUCCUUAAUGGUUUUGAUAAGAUGAUUCUUCAGGGCCGGGACCACCAACAUCUCCUCCCUAAAGAGGAUGCUGUUCCUCUUUCUCCAAAUCAAAUGGCAUAAGCCUCCAGAUUCUGUGUCUUAUUCUUCAUGCAUUUCAACAAAUACAAAUUUCAUUGGUUUGGCAAUGUUAACAGGUGGUAUUGAAACUCCGGCAAUUACAGAAGCAUUUGGCGAAUCUGGGUGAAAAUCACAGUCCAACAACGUUACCUUUGAUGAACUUUUAAUUGCUUUUGUUAAUUAGCUUCCUCAGAAAAUGCUGCCGACGUCACUUCAAGUCUGGGAAAACACAGCUGGCAUAUACCCUAUGUGUUACUUCUCAGGUUGGUCUGAAUUGGAUAUUAGGUUUCUGUCUUGAACUUCUGUUGCAUUUUUUUUCUCAGAUGAACAAUGCCAAAUAGUAACAUAAUGAUUGAAUUUCUAUGAAGUAUAAAGAUGUGGGUGAUCUUGGCAUCAUAAUGUGUGUGUUAGGUGAUUCUGGAAGUAUGGCACUCAUUUUCUGUAAUCUGCAGUCAGUAUACUGGAACGCAUAUACAGUGGCUCAAACCAAGCAGGAAAAAGGCCAGAAGAGUUCGUACAAUGUCACAACCGAGUAAAAGCCUUAAUCAUAGUCGGACUCGGACUUGGGUUGAUCAUUAGUUGAAUGUGAUGCUUGAAGAUACUCUACUUUAUUUGCAAAUCCUACAACAGUAUUUACCCCUGUUUUCAAUCAUUCUUUAUUAAUGGUUUGUGGAUUCCAUGAUCGUAAAAUAUUUUCAGCUGCCAACUCACAUGAGAGGAGGAAAUGGCAAGGUAGCUUAUAUCGACACGGUAGGAACUUUGUAUCCUAUUAUAAUCUGUCUGUAUUUUUCUUGACCUCGAUAAAGCUACUUGAGUUUCAUAAUCGUCAUCUGUCCAUGUAAGCGCAUGUGCACUUUCUUAACUUAGUACACGCGCAGUCUUAGAUAAUGUAAGCAAUGCUUUCUAUACUGGUGGCAACUCUUACUUUUCUGGCUAGUGUACUUGCUGUAAUCUAGUCUUUCCAUGAAUUCGAAGAUCAUUUAUGCCCGUGCCUCUACUUCUGAGCAUCAGUACAACUUGCUUCUUAGUUUGGCUGCCAAAAUGUCUGAAGAACCAUUCAAAUAACUGAUUGUGGAUUCGGUGAUUGCUCUCUUCCGAGUGAAUUUUACUGCAAUAGAACUUGCAGAGCCCCAGGUUGAUCCUGAAACCAUCAAAUCAUGCAAGUUGUUAUUCUGCAGCUUAUCUGGUUUGACACUAAUGAAUUCUGAAUUGCGGCAAAAAUUGGCACAAAUCUCUCACGUUUAAUUAAGAUAGCUGAGGAAUCUAACGAGGCAGUGUAUGUGGCCAAUCAAGGUACUGCAUCACAUCUCAUUUCUCCCACGUAGUCCUGCAUCCAUUCAAAGUUGUUAUUCAAUUUAGCCCUUUGAUGGUUGCACACUGACAAAUAGCAUUUUAGGGACUGCACUAAGCUCAUACUGAUUCUUGUAAAUCUCAAGAACCAGCUAUUUGGUGUAAACUGGUGAUGCAUACAGUAGCUGCAGUCCAUGACAUAGGAAAAGGAUUUUAUUAUUUUUAAGACUCUGUCUUUGAUUUAUUUGUUGCGGUCGUAGCUGAUCCAGGCAGAGGUGUGUUAUCAGACCCAAUUAAACCUGCAGACGGGCAUGUUCUGGCUCUUGCAGCCACAACUAGGUUAAUGUUUUGGAAAGUCAGAGGGAAUCAGCGUGUCUGCAAGGUGUUUUAUGCCCCAAACCUACCCGAAGCUGAAGCUAAGUCGAUAGUGAGGCUACAUCUAGAUAGGUGGAGACCUGAUUUAAGCAUGGUGAUUACAGUAUACUUGAUGUUGUAUGGAGAUCCAUGAACACGUUGAAUAAGAAUUUUGUGCGGAGUUAUUAAACAAAAAGAAGUGGAUAUGGAGAAUUUUUUUAAGCAGGACUA